AGAUAAUUUUUUUUGUCAAUUUUUAUUAUUAAAAAUUGACAUGGUUAAUAAAAUAACUAAAUAAUUACACGUGGCGUGCCAGGUGUAACUCAUGCUGGCAUAUAAUGAUUAAUUUUUAAUAGUGAAAAUGAAUAAAAUUUUUAACA
rnacentral:pre_miRNA from 1 species